rnacentral:rRNA from 1 species
AGAUUGAACGCUGGCGGAAUGCUUUACACAUGCAAGUCGAGCGGCAGCGCGGGGGCAACCUGGCGGCGAGCGGCGAACGGGUGAGUAAUGCAUCGGAACAUGUCCAUGUCGUGGGGGAUAGCCCGGCGAAAGCCGGAUUAAUACCGCAUACGCCCGAGAGGGGAAAUGGGGGACCGCAAGGCCUCACGCGAUUGGGUUGGCCGAUGUCCGAUUAGCUAGUUGGCGGGGUAAGAGCCCACCAAGGCGAUGAUCGGUAGCUGGUCUGAGAGGAUGAUCAGCCACACUGGGACUGAGACACGGCCCAGACUCCUACGGGAGGCAGCAGUGGGGAAUUUUGGACAAGUGGGGGCAACCCUGAUCCAGCCAUUCCGCGUGAGUGAAGAGGCCUGGUGUAAGCGUCUUUGUCCGGAAGUAACGGUUAGU